CAAGUCGAGCGAGUCUGCCUUGAAGAUCGGAGUGCUUGCACUCUGUGAAACAAGAUACAGGCUAGCGGCGGACGGGUGAGUAACACGUGGGUAACCUGCCCAAGAGAUCGGGAUAACACCUGGAAACAGAUGCUAAUACCGGAUAACAACAGAUGAUGCCUAUCAACUGUUUAAAAGAUGGUUCUGCUAUCACUCUUGGAUGGACUGCGGUGCAUUAGCUAGUUGGUAGGGUAACGGCCUACCAAGGCGAUGAUGCAUAGCCGAGUUGAGAGACUGAUCGGCCACAUUGGGACUGAGACACGGCCCAAACCUCUACGGGAGGCAGCAGUAGGGAAUCUUCCACAAUGGACGCAAGUCUGAUGGAGCAACGCCGCGUGAGUGAAGAAGGGUUUCGGCUCGUAAAGCUCUGUUGUUGGUGAAGAAGGACAGGGGUAGUAACUGACCUUUGUUUGA
rnacentral:rRNA from 1 species